rnacentral:rRNA from 1 species
GGCGAACGCUGGCGGCGUGCCUAAUACAUGCAAGUUGAGCGCUGAAGGUUGGUACUUGUACCAACUGGAUGAGCAGCGAACGGGUGAGUAACGCGUGGGGAAUCUGCCUUUGAGCGGGGGACAACAUUUGGAAACGAAUGCUAAUACCGCAUAAAAACUUUAAACACAAGUUUUAAGUUUGAAAGAUGCAAUUGCAUCACUCAAAGAUGAUCCCGCGUUGUAUUAGCUAGUUGGUGAGGUAAAGGCUCACCAAGGCGAUGAUACAUAGCCGACCUGAGAGGGUGAUCGGCCACAUUGGGACUGAGACACGGCCCAAACUCCUACGGGAGGCAGCAGUAGGGAAUCUUCGGCAAUGGACGAAAGUCUGACCGAGCAACGCCGCGUGAGUGAAGAAGGUUGUCGGAUCGUAAAACUCUGUUGGUAGAGAAGAACGUUGGUGAGAGUGGAAAGCUCAUCAAGUGACGGUAACUACCCAGAAAGGGACGGCUAACUACGUG